rnacentral:rRNA from 1 species
GACGAACGCUGGCGGCGUGCUUAACACAUGCAAGUCGAACGGAGUGGCGAACGGGUGAGUAACACGUGGGUGAUCUGCCUUGCACUUCGGGAUAAGCUUGGGAAACUGGGUCUAAUACCGGAUAGUGCAAGAUGAGCUCGCGGCCUAUCAGCUUGUUGGUGGGGUAAUGGCCUACCCAGGCGUCGACGGGUAGCCGGCCUGGGAGGGUGUACGGGCACAAGAGGACUGAGAUACGGAGCAGACUGCUACGGGGGGCAGUAGGGGGGAGUAUUGCACAAUGGUCGGGAGCGUGAGGAAGCGGCGCCGGGUGUGGAAAGAACGUCUUGGGGGUGUAAACGCCUUUCGACAGGGACGCGGUACCUGUAUAAGAAGCACCGGCUAACUACGUGCCAGCAGCCGCGGUAAUAC